UAGUCCACGCCGUAAACGAUGAGAACUAGCCGUUGGGACCCUUGAGGUCUUGGUGGCGCAGCUAACGCGAUAAGUUCUCCGCCUGGGGAGUACGGCCGCAAGGCUAAAACUCAAAUGAAUUGACGGGGGCCCGCACAAGCGGUGGAGCAUGUUGUUUAAUUCGAUGCAACGCGAAGAACCUUACCACCCCUUGACAUCCUCAGAACUUGUUAGAAAUAACUUGGUGCCUUCGGGAACUGAGUGACAGGUGCUGCAUGGCUGUCGUCAGCUCGUGUCGUGAGAUGUUGGGUUAAGUCCCGUAACGAGCGCAACCCUUGUCCUUAUUUGCCAGCGAGUAAUGUCGGGAACUCUAAGGAGACUGCCGGUGACAAACCGGAGGAAGGUGGGGAUGACGUCAAGUCAGCAUGCCCCUUACGCUCUGGGCUACACACGUGCUACAAUGGUCGUGACAAAGAGUUGCUAGUCUGCGAAGGCAAGCCAAUCUCAUAAACGCGGCCUUAGUUCGGAUUGC
rnacentral:rRNA from 1 species